AUUGUGUUAAACAGUCAUCGUUUCAGUGUCUUAACCAUAGAGACACUGUAGCCUCGACUGAUAAAGCCAUAAUGUAUUUGUAAUACAAGAAGAAGAAUCAUGUUCGUGAACACGGCAUUAGUCGUUAUUUCUUUAUUGAUUGGAUUGCACGUCACAGGAGGCAUCUCUGUGGACGAUGAAGUUUAUCAGAUUCCGCAUCGGCGCAUGGCUAAUGGAAUGACUGGCCCCGUGUACCAGCACAUGGGUGUUCUCAGUCAGGAAAAGGCUUUAGAAUUUAAUAAGGAAUUACUCCAGGCGCAGUCUCGUGGACGGGUGGCUAAGCUGAUGCCUGCAGUGUUUCUAGAAUCCCAUUUCCAGAGAACUCCACAGAGGCAAUCAGAUGUCAACUUCCUGCAAAACAUUGACCAUGUGGAGAACAAGCCUGUAUCUGCCCACGAUACGGUCACAAUGGAGGAGAAUGAUGACAUCGAGCUGUAUGUGUCGUCUGUUGGAGCAUCAGAACCCGUGGCCCAUGAGGAAAUGAUCCGAUUGCUCAACAUCAACACCCUUCACCACAGCUCUGGGCCGCUUGCCACCACUGAGGCAUCCACUGAGGUUUGUGUCUCAAGAACUCUAGGAUGAAGUUACAGUCUGCUGCUAAAC
rnacentral:lncRNA from 1 species